AGGACGAAUGCUGGCGGCGUGCUUAACACAUGCAAGUCGAGCGGUAAGGCUCCUUCGGGAGUACACGAGCGGCGAACGGGUGAGUAACACGUGAGCAAUCUGCCCUUCUCUUCGGAAUAACCAUUGGAACGAUGGCCAAUGCCGAAUACGACCUCCUUUCGCAUGAUCGGAGGUGGAAAGCUCCGGCGGAGAAGGAUGAGCUCGCGGCCUAUCAGCUAGUUGGCGGGGUAACGGCCCACCAAGGCGACGACGGGUAGCCGGCCUGGAGGGGUGGACCGGCGA
rnacentral:rRNA from 1 species